GGCAUUUAAGCCCUGAACAUCGCCUGACAGGCAGCCAUGUAUCCCAGGCUGCGUACAGCCCCAAGACCAGAGUCAAUCGCAUGCAACGAACAACGAGCCAUCGAGCCACAUUCAAACAGAGCCAGAAAGCUGAAGCCUUGGGGAUGGAUCGAAAUGUACACAAUGGGUACCUGGAGGAAAAUGGGCUAAUAGAGAGCAUACUGAAGGAAAAGCCUGGUGGAGAGGUUGUCAUCAAGGAGUGCUACAAAACUAAAAGCCUGAUUGACUGCACCAGACGAAAGAUGAUCAAUAUUCUUGUUUCGGCGAUGACAGACUCUCACGGGAACAAUAUUACGACCCUAAUAUUAAAGGGUACCUCUCGUAUAGAAUGAAAACCGUUCAGAGGUAUUUGGCUUCAUCUGAGAAACGGCCCACUCAACUAUACUAUGGAGGGCCAGCUGCUGAGAGGGAGUCCAGUUCAUCCACUUUGGCUACCCUGAGUGAAGACCGGUGCAGAGAUGCCAUUCCUCUUAUGAAGCAUUGUUCUGAUGAAGAAACAGUCAAACAGAAGAUGAGAUUGACCUUUGAGUACAGGAAGAAGAUGACCCGAGUAAAUGCUCCACCAUCCUAACCGAAUUUCCACGCUUUCUGGAUGUGAAGGGCUUGAUUGAACAGUGUUUUGUGCUGCUGUUUGGAGAGGGAACAUCAAGUUUUUGGAGAGGUGACCAACUAUAUUCAAGCAAAAGAUCAUCAUGAUAAGCAAGGCCACUCAGGGAGCUGAACUUCAGGAGCUGAUCCAGAUGGCAGAUUCUGCAGUUAAUGAGGGAGCUGACAUGAAUGCUGACGGUUAGAUUAUCAUAAUUUAUCAUUUAUAUUUCAAAUAACUCUGAAAUGUUAAUGUCACUGAUGGAAUUGACCAUUUUAAAUCAGGAUCUUUUCUUUGUUUAGGAUCAAAUCAAAAUCAAAUCAAAUUUUAUUUGUCACAUACACAUGGUUAGCAGAUG